rnacentral:rRNA from 1 species
AGAGUUUGAUCCUGGCUCAGGAUGAACGCUGGCGGCGUGCUUAACACAUGCAAGUCGAACGAUUAAAGCCCCUUCGGGGGUGUAUAGAGUGGCGAACGGGUGAGUAACACGUGGGCAACCUGCCCCUCACUUCGGGAUAACCCAGGGAAACUUGGGCUAAUACCGGAUACUCCGAGAGGACCGCAUGAUCUUCUCGGGAAAGUUCCGGCGGUGAGGGAUGGGCCCGCGGCCCAUUAGCUUGUUGGUAGGGUAAUGGCCUACCAAGGCAACGAUGGGUAGCCGAGCUGAGAGGCUGAUCGGCCACACUGGGACUGAGACACGGCCCAGACUCCUACGGGAGGCAGCAGUGAGGAAUAUUGGUCAAUGGGCGAAAGCCUGAACCAGCCAUGUCGCGUGCAGGACGACGGCCCUACGGGUUGUAAACUGCUUUUGUACGGGAAGAAAAAAGGCCACGUGUGGCCUCUUGCCGGUACCGUACGAAUAAGGAUCGGCUAACUCCGUGCCAGCAGCCGCGGUAAUACGGAGGAUCCGAGCGUUAUCCGGAUUUAUUGGGUUUAAAGGGUGCGUAGGCGGGCCUUUAAGUCGGCGGUGAAAGUUUGGCGCUCAACGUUAAAAUUGCCGUUGAUACUGGAGGCCUUGAGUACGGUUGAGGUAGGCGGAAUGUGGUGUGUAGCGGUGAAAUGCUUAGAUAUGCCACAGAACACCGAUUGCGUAGGCAGCUUACUAAAGCGUAACUGACGCUGAGGCACGAAAGCGUGGGGAUCAAACAGGAUUAGAUACCCUGGUAGUCC